UACGUAGGGUGCGAGCGUUGUCCGGAAUUAUUGGGCGUAAAGGGCUCGUAGGCGGUUUGUCGCGUCGGGAGUGAAAUCCACUGGCUUAACUGGUGGCUUGCUUUCGAUACGGGCAGACUGGAGGUAUGCAGGGGAGAACGGAAUUCCACGUGUAGCGGUGAAAUGCGUAGAGAUGUGGAGGAACACCGAUGGCGAAGGCAGCCUUCUGGGCCAAUACUGACGCUCAUGCACGAAAGCGUGGGGAGCAAACAGG
rnacentral:rRNA from 1 species